ensembl:lncRNA
AGCGGCUGCAGAUGCGUGCCAUGGUGUCCCGGUGCGAGGCGGUGCUGCGCGCUGUCCCCACCAAGCUGCAGAGUUGCCUGCAGGAACGGGAUGCUGCACAGCAACAAGCGGAUGAAGCCCUCCGUGCUAAGCAGGAGAGCGAUGGUUUCCUGGAGGCGUUCCGUUCCCAUGCUGCUGCCCAGAUUGGUGCCCGCACGCAGAGCCUGGAGCUGCAGCAGGAGCUGAGCACGCUGCUGGCAGCUGCUGUCCAGCAGCAGGUAUGGCCUGUCCUCCACACCCUGCAGGGUUCGUAGCCCUGGCUUAGGGCUGUGCUCCAAGCAACCCCCGUGGGAACGCUCCCUGCUUUCCUCUCCUCUAGGUGUCCCUGGCUGCAGAGGCUCAACCUUUCCGGGAAUUCAUAGACGUGACCUUUGCCAACCUCCAGGAAGAGCGAGGAGCGCUGGAUGGAGAGGUGAGGGCUGUCCCAACACCAGGUGCCACCCAUGUCACCAGCACUCAGCUCACCCUGGGGCUGUCCUGUCCCUUUGUAGCGGGAGCAGGUGCGUGCCCUGGUGUCUCGCUGCAUGACUGCGCUGCGGGACGUCCCCACCAAGCUGCACAGCUGCCUGCAGGAGCGGGAUGCUGCGCUGCAACGAGUGGAGGAAGCCCUCCAAGCCAAGAAGGAGGUGUCCCAGCAGCUGGAGGAGACCCUGGAGGCUCUGCAGGAUGCGGUGGCCCAGGGGGAGCAGCUGGCAGUCACCAACUCACGCCUCAGCACAGACCUGAGCACGGUGAUGAAGCAGCUGGCCAGCCUGCAGCAGGAGCAGGACGCACUGCAGCAGGACUAUGAGGAGCAGAAGGAGAAGAUGAACCGGCUGACCAAGGAGAGGGAUGCUCUGCAGCGGGAGCGCCAGGAGCUGCAGGAAGCAGCGGAGUGCCGGGAGUUUCUGGACCAGGAGAACCGCAUGUCCCGCAGGCAGCUGAUGGAGGUGGAAGCCAAGCUGCAAUCCACGCUGUCUGAGCUGCAGGAGCGCAGCCUGCAGCACGAGGAGCUGCUGGAAGCCCACCAGGGCCUGCAGGAGGAACGAGCAGCCUUGCAAAAGGAGCUGGAGAGCACCAAGGCGGAGCUGCAGGACCUGCAGCUCAAGAGGGACAGGGUGUCCUGNNNNNNNNNNNNNNNNNNNNNNNNNNNNNNNCAGCAGGCAUUGCGGAGAGCAAGGCGAGGCUGCAGGAGCUGGCUGACUGCCUGCGAGCUGCCCUGCUUCAGCAGGAUGAUGAUGACGAGGUCCCAUCGAGGAGCAAGACCUGGACCCCAGGCUGGAGGACCCCCCGUGGGCCCUGGACCCCCCGCAGCAGUGCUUGGACCCCCGUGUGCCGCACACCCGCCUGCCACACACCACACCACGCCAGGGGGUCCUUUGUAGGCAGUGUUCUGAAGGCGGUGUCAGGAAGAGAUGGUGAUGAAGGCACUGGAGGUGAGAGCCUAUCUGCCAGGGAUAGGGCUGUGUCCACACCGAAGCCCCCAGGUAUCACACUGUCCCUGCCCCUCACGUCCCCAGCGAGUCCCCCCACCACCCUGCUGAGCAGCCCCCCGCCUGCAGAACCCGAGGAUGGUCUGAUGGAGCAGGCAGCUGAGCUGAGGGCUGUAGUGUCUGACCUCUCUGUGCUGAACUCCCGCAUCCAGCAGUUGGAGCAGAGCAAGUUCNNNNNNNNNNNNNNNNNNNNNNNNNNNNNNNNNNNNNNNNNNAGGGGUUCACAUGG